GAUGAACGCUGGCGGCGUGCCUAAUACAUGCCAGUCGAGCGAACGGACGAGAAGCUUGCUUCUCUGAUGUUAGCGGCGGACGGGUGAGUAACACGUGGAUAACCUACCUAUAAGACUGGGAUAACUUCUGGAAACCGUAGCUAAUACCGGAUAAUAUAUUGAACCGCAUGGUUCAAUAGUGAAAGACGGUCUUGCUGUCACUUAUAGAUGGAUCCGCGCCGCAUUAGCUAGUUGGUAAGGUAAGGACUUACCAAGGCAACGAUGCAUAGCCGACCUGCGAGGUUGACCGGCCACACUGGAACUGAGACACGGUCCAGACUCCUACUGGAAGCAGCAGUAGGGAAUCUUCCGCGAUGGGCGAAAGCCUGACGGAGCAACGCCGCGUGAGUGAUGAAGGUCUUCGGAUCGUAAAACUCUGUUAUUAGGGAAGAUCAAAUGUGUAAGUAACUGUGCACGUCUUGACGGUACCUAAGCAGAAAGCCACGGCUAACUACGUG
rnacentral:rRNA from 1 species